GAUGAACGCUGGCGGCGUGCCUAAUACAUGCAAGUCGAGCGAACGGACGAGAAGCUUUCUUCUCUGAUGUUAGCGGCGGACGGGUUAGUAGCACGUGGACAACCUACCUAUAAGACUGGGAUAACUUCGGGUACCCGGACCUAAUACCGGAUAAUAUUUUGAACCGCAUGGUUCAAAAGUGAAAGACGGUCUUGCUGUCACUUAUAGAUGGAUCCGCGCUGCAUUAGCUAGUUGGUAAGGUAACGGCUUACCAAGGCAACGAUGCAUAGCCGACCUGAGAGGGUGAUCAGCCACACUGGAACUGAGACACGGUCCAGACUCCUACGGGAGGCAGCAGUAGGGAAUCUUGCGCAAUGGGCGAAAGCCUGACGGAGCAACGCCGCGUGAGUGAUGAAGGUCUUCGGAUCGUAAAACUCUGUUAUUAGGGAAGAACAUAUGUGUAAGUAACUGUGCACAUCUUGACGGUACCUAAUGAGAAAGCAACGGCUAUCUACGUG
rnacentral:rRNA from 1 species